rnacentral:rRNA from 1 species
GUAGCGGGUCUGAGAGGAUGAUCCGCCACACUGGGACUGAGACACGGCCCAGACUCCUACGGGAGGCAGCAGUGGGGAAUAUUGCACAAUGGGCGAAAGCCUGAUGCAGCAACGCCGCGUGAGGGAUGACGGCCUUCGGGUUGUAAACCUCUUUUAGUAGGGAAGAAGCGAAAGUGACGGUACCUGCAGAAAAAGCACCGGCUAACUACGUGCCAGCAGCCGCGGUAAU